GAUGAACGCUGGCGGCGUGCCUAAUACAUGCAAGUCGAGCGAACAGAUGAGGAGCUUGCUCCUCUGACGUUAGCGGCGGACGGGUGAGCAACACGUGGAUAACCUACCUAUAAGACUGGGAUAACUUCGGGAAACCGGAGCUAAUACCGGAUAAUAUAUUGAACCGCAUGGUUCAAUAGUGAAAGACGGUUUUGCUGUCACUUAUAGAUGGAUCCGCGCCGCAUUAGCUAGUUGGUAAGGUAACGGCUUACCAAGGCAACGAUGCGUAGCCGACCUGAGAGGGUGAUAGGCGACACUGGAACUGAGACACGGUCCAGACUCCUACGGGAGGCAGCAGUAGGGAAUCUGCCGCAAUGGGCGAAAGCCUGACGGAGCAACGCCGCGUGAGUGAUGAAGGUCUUCGGAUCGUAAAACUCUGUUAUUAGGGAAGAACAAAUGUGUAAGUAACUAUGCACGUCUUGACGGUACCUAAUCAGAAAGCCACGGCUAACUACGUG
rnacentral:rRNA from 1 species